rnacentral:rRNA from 1 species
UACAGAGGUCUCAAGCGUUGUUCGGAUUCAUUGGGCGUAAAGGGUGCGUAGGCGGCGCGGUAAGUCGGGUGUGAAAUCUCGGAGCUUAACUCCGAAACUGCAUUCGAUACUGCCGUGCUUGAGGACUGGAGAGGAGACUGGAAUUUACGGUGUAGCGGUGAAAUGCGUAGAUAUCGUAAGGAAGACCUGCGGCGAAGGCGGGUAGCUGGGCCGACACUGACGCUGAGGCGCGAAAGCCAGGGGAGCGAACGGG